rnacentral:rRNA from 1 species
GUGGGGAAUUUUGGACAAUGGGCGCAAGCCUGAUCCAGCAAUGCCGCGUGCAGGAAGAAGGCCUUCGGGUUGUAAACUGCUUUUGUACGGAACGAAACGGUUCUGGUUAAUACCCGGGGCUAAUGACGGUACCGUAAGAAUAAGCACCGGCUAACUACGUGCCAGCAGCCGCGGUAAUACGUAGGGUGCAAGCGUUAAUCGGAAUUACUGGGCGUAAAGCGUGCGCAGGCGGUUGUGUAAGACAGGCGUGAAAUCCCCGGGCUCAACCUGGGAAUUGCGCUUGUGACUGCACGGCUGGAGUGCGGCAGAGGGGGAUGGAAUUCCGCGUGUAGCAGUGAAAUGCGUAGAUAUGCGGAGGAACACCGAUGGCGAAGGCAAUCCCCUGGGCCUGCACUGACGCUCAUGCACGAAAGCGUGGGGAGCAAACAGGAUUAGAAACCCGAGUAGUCC